CCUUGGUCAUUUAGAGGAAGUAAAAGUCGUAACAAGGUUUCCGUAGGUGAACCUGCGGAAGGAUCAUUACAGAGUUCGUGCCCGAAAGGGUAGACCUCCCACCCUUGUGUAUUAUUACUUUGUUGCUUUGGCAGGCUGCCUUUGCGUCUGCCAGAGGUUUAUCAAACUCUUUUUAUUAAUGUCGUCUGAGUACUAUAUAAUAGUUAAAACUUUCAACAACGGAUCUCUUGGUUCUGGCAUCGAUGAAGAACGCAGCGAAAUGCGAUAAGUAAUGUGAAUUGCAGAAUUCAGUGAAUCAUCGAAUCUUUGAACGCACAUUGCGCCCCUUGGUAUUCCGGGGGGCAUGCCUGUUCGAGCGUCAUUUCAACCCUCAAGCACAGCUUGGUAUUGAGCCCAUGUCAGCGAUGGCAGGCUCUAAAAUCAGUGGCGGCGCCGUUGGGUCCUGAACGUAGUAAUAUCUUUCGUUACAGGUUCUCAGCGUGCUUCUGCCAAAACCCAACUUUCUAGUGUUGACCUCGGAUCAGGUAGGGAUACCCGCUGAACUUAAGCAUAUCAAUAAGCCGGAGGAAA
rnacentral:sRNA from 1 species